GACGAACGCUGGCGGCGUGCUUAACACAUGCAAGUCGAACGAUGACGACCGAGCUUGCUCGGUCUGAUUAGUGGCGAACGGGUGAGUAACACGUGAGCAACCUGCCCUUCACUCUGGGAUAACCUCGGGAAAUCGGGGCUAAUACCGGAUAUGAGCUCCUGUCGCAUGGCGGGUGUUGGAAAGUUUUUCGGUGAAGGAUGGGCUCGCGGCCUAUCAGUUUGUUGGUGAGGUAGUGGCUCACCAAGGCGAUGACGGGUAGCCGGCCUGAGAGGGCGACCGGCCACACUGGGACUGAGACACGGCCCAGACUCCUACGGGAGGCAGCAGUGGGGAAUAUUGCACAAUGGGCGAAAGCCUGAUGCAGCGACGCCGCGUGAGGGAUGACGGCCUUCGGUUUGUAAACCUCUUUCAGCAGGGAAGAAGCGAAAGUGACGGUACCUGCAGAAGAAGCGCCGGCUAACUACGUG
rnacentral:rRNA from 1 species